rnacentral:rRNA from 1 species
UACGAAGGGUGCAGGCGUUACUCGGAAUCACUGGGCGUAAAGCGUGCGUAGGCGGUUCGUUAAGUCUGCUGUGAAAGCCCUGGGCUCAACCUGGGAACUGCAGUGGAUACUGGCGGACUAGAGUGUGAUAGAGGAUGGUGGAAUUCCCGGUGUAGCGGUGAAAUGCGUAGAGAUCGGGAGGAACACCAGUGGCGAAGGCGGCCAUCUGGAUCAACACUGAACGCUGAGGCACGAAAGCGUGGGGAGCAAACAGGG